rnacentral:rRNA from 1 species
ACGGUAACAUUUCUAGCUUGCUAGAAGAUGACGAGUGGCGGACGGGUGAGUAAUACUUAGGAAUAUGCCUUUGUGUGGGGGAUAACCAUUGGAAACGAUGGCUAAUACCGCAUAACGUCUUCGGACCAAAGGGGGCCUUGGCUCCCGCGCAAAGAGUAGCCUAAGCGAGAUUAGCUUGUUGGUGAGGUAAAGGCUCACCAAGGCGACGAUCUCUAGCUGUUCUGAGAGGAAGAUCAGCCACACUGGAACUGAGACACGGUCCAGACUCCUACGGGAGGCAGCAGUGGGGAAUAUUGCACAAUGGGGGAAACCCUGAUGCAGCCAUGCCGCGUGUGUGAAGAAGGCCUUCGGGUUGUAAAGCACUUUCAGUUGUGAGGAAAGGUUAACGGUUAAUACCCGUUAGCUGUGACGUUAGCAACAGAAGAAGGACCGGCUAACUCCGUGCCAGCAGCCGCGGUAAUACGGAGGGUCCGAGCGUUAAUCGGAAUUACUGGGCGUAAAGCGCACGCAGGCGGUUUGUUAAGCUAGAUGUGAAAGCCCUGGGCUCAACCUGGGAAUUGCAUUUAGAACUGGCAGGCUAGAGUUUUGGAGAGGGGAGUGGAAUUCCAGGUGUA